AGAGUUGUAUCCUGGCUCAGGAUGAACGCUGGCGGUGUGCCUAACACAUGCAAGUCGUACGAGAGUUUUUAACUCUAGUGGCGGACGGGUGAGUAACACGUGAGAAUUUGCCUUUAGGAGGGGGAUAACAAUUGGAAACGAAUGCUAAUACCCCAUAUGCUUUCGAGUGAAAUGGAUUUAUAUUUAUCCGCCUAGAGAGAAGCUCGCGGCUGAUUAGCUUGUUGGUAAGGUAAGAGCUUACCAAGGCGACGAUCAGUAUCUGGUUUGAGAGGACGAUCAGACACACUGGAACUGAGACACGGUCCAGACUCCUACGGGAGGCAGCAGUGGGGAAUUUUCCGCAAUGGGCGAAAGCCUGACGGAGCAAUACCGCGUGAGGGAAGACUGCCUAUGGGUUGUAAACCUCUUUUUUCAGGGAGGAAUCAAUGACGUGUACCUGAAGAAUAAGCAUCGGCUAACUCCGUGCCAGCAGCCGCGGUAAGACGGAGGAUGCAAGUGUUAUCCGGAAUCACUGGGCGUAAAGCGUCUGUAGGUGGUUUAAUAAGUCAACUGUUAAAUCUUGAGGCUCAACUUCAAAAUCGCAGUCGAAACUAUUAGACUAGAGUAUAGUAGAGGUAAAGGGAAUUUCCAGUGGAGCGGUGAAAUGCGUAGAUAUUGGAAAGAACACCGAUGGCGAAAGCACUUUACUGGGCUAUUACUAACACUCAGAGACGAAAGCUAGGGUAGCAAAUGGGAUUAGAUACCCCAGUAGUCCUAGCCGUAAACAAU
rnacentral:rRNA from 1 species